UUUAAAUGUAAAUUUUUGAACUAAAUUAGUAAUAGUUAUGAUCUUCAAAUUUAAAGAUUUUGGCGGUAUUUUAGUCUGUUCAGAGGAACCUGUUCUGUAAUUGAUAAUCCACGAUUAACUUUACUUAAUUUUAAAAAUUUGUAUAUCGUUGUUUAUAGAAAAUUUUAUAAGAAAAAUAAUUUUUAAUAAAUUUUAUUUAAUUGUAAAUCAAAUCAAGGUGCAGUUUAUAAUUAAGUUAGAAAUGGGUUACAAUAAAUUUAUUUAUUAAUGGAUAUAAAUUUUAAAAUUUUAUUGAAGGUGGAUUUGAUAGUAAUAUUAUUAAAUUUAAUAAUAUGAUUUUAGCUCUAAAAUAUGU
rnacentral:rRNA from 1 species